rnacentral:rRNA from 1 species
UACGGGGGGGGCAAGCGUUGUUCGGAAUUACUGGGCGUAAAGGGCUCGUAGGCGGCCAACUAAGUCGGACGUGAAAUCCCCAGGCUCAACCUGGGAACUGCGUCCGAUACUGGAUGGCUUGAAUCCGGGAGAGGGAUGCAGAAUUCCAGGUGUAGCGGUGAAAUGCGUAGAUAUCUGGAGGAACACCGGUGGCGAAGGCGACAUCCUGGACCGGCAUUGACGCUGAGGCGCGAAAGCCAGGGGAGCAAACGGG